rnacentral:rRNA from 1 species
ACUCCUACGGGAGGCAGCAGUGGGGAAUAUUGCACAAUGGGGGAAACCCUGAUGCAGCAACGCCGCGUGGAGGAUGACACUUUUCGGAGCGUAAACUCCUUUUCUGUUAGAAGAUAAUGACGGUAUAACAGGAAUAAGCACCGGCUAACUCCGUGCCAGCAGCCGCGGUAAUAC